rnacentral:ncRNA from 1 species
AUAACUGGCUUGUGGUAGCCAAGCAUUCAUAACGGCGUCCUUCAACGUCAACACCUCCUAUCAUGCUGAAGCAGAAAUCAGUAAGCGCUAUAAGCGUUAGGUUGUCCACCUACUGCUAGGGAAUGUGAUCUGAGUUUAGACCAUCGCGAGACAGGCU